rnacentral:rRNA from 1 species
UUUUUGGAGGGUAAAUUUUCCUAAGGCUAAAUAUUGGCGAGAGACCGAUAGCGAACAAGUACCCUGAGGGAAAGAUGAAAAGAACUUUGAAAAGAGAGUUAAACAGUACGUGAAAUUGUUGAAAGGGAAACGAUUGAAGUCAGUCAUACCAUCGGGAAAUCAACCUUUUGAGCUUGGUUUCGUGGGUUUUGAAGAGUUUCAAAGCCUUCGGAUUCGCGAGAUUGGGAUCUUUGGGUGUACUUUUUCGUAGUGGUAGUCAACAUCAAUUGUUGAAUGUCAUAAAAUGACUGGAGGAAUGUACCUUCAAUA